rnacentral:rRNA from 1 species
CCCCUAGUAACUGCGAGUGAAGCGGGAAAAGCUCAAAUUUAAAAUCUGGCAGUCUUUGGCUGUCCGAGUUGUAAUCUAGAGAAGUGUUAUCUGCGCUGGACCGUGUACAAGUCUCCUGGAAUGGAGCGUCAUAGAGGGUGAGAAUCCCGUCUUUGACACGGACUACCAGGGCUUUGUGGUGCGCUCUCAAAGAGUCGAGUUGUUUGGGAAUGCAGCUCAAAAUGGGUGGUAAAUUCCAUCUAAAGCUAAAUAUUGGCGAGAGACCGAUAGCGAACAAGUACCGUGAGGGAAAGAUGAAAAGAACUUUGGAAAGAGAGUUAAACAGUACGUGAAAUUGCUGAAAGGGAAACGCUUGAAGUCAGUCGCGUUGUCCAGGGAUCAACCUUGCUUUUGCUUGGUGCACUUCCUGGUUGACGGGUCAGCAUCAAUUUUGACUAUUGGAAAAAGAUUAAGGGAAUGUGGCAUCUUUGGAUGUGUUAUAGCCCUUGGUUGCAUACAAUGGUUGGGAUUGAGGAACUCAGCACGCCGCAAGGCCGGGUUUUUAACCACGUACGUGCUUAGGAUGCUGGCAUAAUGGCUUUAAUCGACCCGUCUUGAAACACGGACCAAGGAGUCUAACAUGCCUGCGAGUGUUUGGGUGGAAAACCCGAGCGCGCAAUGAAAGUGAAAGUUGAGAUCCCUGUCGUGGGGAGCAUCGACGCCCGGACCAGACCUUUUGUGACGGUUCCGCGGUAGAGCAUGUAUGUUGGGACCCGAAAGAUGGUGAACUAUGCCUGAAUAGGGUGAAGCCAGAGGAAACUCUGGUGGAGGCUCGUAGCGAUUCUGACGUGCA